rnacentral:lncRNA from 1 species
CAAUACGCAAAUCACUGAAUAUAAACGGAGGAGUUCCAUUUCGAUCCAGUGGAUCUGCGAUGCAGGAGAUCAAAUCUCAAUCACCUCAUCAGAUUAUGAACAUGAACAAGCCGGAAAAUAAUGAAACCCAUGCUACGUCUGCUCAGAAGAAGGAAAAAAGGCAAAACAAAAUAAUGAAACCCAUGCUGCUUCUGCUCAGAAGAAGGAAAAAAGGCAAAGGUUCUCCAUGGCCUUAUCCAGAGAAGAGAUCGAUGAAGAUAUAUAUGCUAUGACUGGAUUAAAAGCUGCUAGAAGACCUAAGAAGAGAGUUAAAGCUGUUCAGAAACAACUUGAUGUAAGUCUUUAUCACUUAUCGACACUUUUUUCCUUUCUAUUUUGCUCUUAUGAUUUCUAGUUAUCUGAUGCGCCGAGGGUCGAAUGGAAACAGCCUCUCUACCCUUUCGGGCAGGGUAAGGCUCGUCUACAUAUUACCCUCCCCAGACCCCACCUGGCGGGAAUAUACUGGGUAGUUGUUGUUGUUGAUUUCUAGCUAUCUGAUGAUUUGAAUUUCUUUUUCAGACACUCUUCCCUGGUUUAUGGCUUGCUUCAAACUUAAGAUUUCUAGCUAUCUGAUGAUUUGAAUUUCUUUUUCAGACACUCUUCCCUGGUUUAUGGCUUGCUUCAAUAACUCCUGAUUCAUAUAAAGUUUGUGAAAAUCUUCCAAAGGUAUAAUUUACUGGUUGA